rnacentral:snoRNA from 1 species
AUCUUACAGAUUCCUUGCCCAUCAGAUCUAAACGCUGGUCUGAGUACUGUAAAGGGUAGAGAAGAAAAACUGAAAUGGACCUGCAUUCUUUUGUGACAUACAGGUUCAUUUCAAACAAAA